UCCUGAGCUGGUGUAAAUCAGCAGAGCUCCACUGAAGCUGAGAAAAUUAUGUGGAUUUACACCAGCUGGGAAUCUGGCCCACAGAUCCUAAGACAAGCAAAUAAUUCACAGUGAAUUAUUUAUAGCAUCUAGAGCCACAAAGAAGGUUCUUUCAUGCAGUCCAUUGGUAAUGAAGAUCCUUGACCACAGUGGAAGCAGAUACAUUUCCAGGAUCUUUCUGUUGCUGUGGGAAAAGACUUCCUGGGCAUGAGUCGCUGACCUGCCUGUGCAACAGACAGCCAGUGAGAGGAGCCACAAAAAGAGCUGGAAAUUUAAGAGCCUCCGAGGUUAAGCAACAAAUCCACAUCCACAAAAUAAAGUAUGGAUGUCUGCCAAUGUCAUGUAAAGAGACGUUGAGUCCUGGAGGGACCUGAAAGAUUGCUACUCUGAAUUUUUGUGUAUGUGAUUAGUUAUAAGAGUGACAACUGUAAAAGGUGGCUUAUCCCAGAGAUCUGGAGCAUGUGUGG